AGAGUUUGAUCAUGGCUCAGGAUGAACGCUGGCGGCGUGCCUAACACAUGCAAGUCGAGCGAUUCUCUUCGGAGAAGAGCGGCGGACGGGUGAGUAACGCGUGGGUAACCUGCCCUGUACACACGGAUAACAUACCGAAAGGUAUGCUAAUACGGGAUAACAUAAGAAAUUCGCAUGUUUUUCUUAUCAAAGCUCCGGCGGUACAGGAUGGACCCGCGUCUGAUUAGCUAGUUGGUGAGGUAACGGCUCACCAAGGCGACGAUCAGUAGCCGACCUGAGAGGGUGAUCGGCCACAUUGGAACUGAGACACGGUCCAAACUCCUACGGGAGGCAGCAGUGGGGAAUAUUGCACAAUGGGCGAAAGCCUGAUGCAGCAACGCCGCGUGAGCGAUGAAGGCCUUCGGGUCGUAAAGCUCUGUCCUCAAGGAAGAUAAUGACGGUACUUGAGGAGGAAGCCCCGGCUAACUACGUGCCAGCAGCCGCGGUAAUACGUAGGGGGCUAGCGUUAUCCGGAUUUACUGGGCGUAAAGGGUGCGUAGGCGGUCUUUUAAGUCAGGAGUGAAAGGCUACGGCUCAACCGUAGUAAGCUCUUGAAACUGGAGGACUUGAGUGCAGGAGAGGAGAGUGGAAUUCCUAGUGUAGCGGUGAAAUGCGUAGAUAUUAGGAGGAACACCAGUAGCGAAGGCGGCUCUCUGGACUGUAACUGACGCUGAGGCACGAAAGCGUGGGGAGCAAACAGGAUUAGAUACCCUGGUAGUCCACGCCGUAAACGAUGAGUACUAGGUGUCGGGGGUUACCCCCCUCGGUGCCGCAGCUAACGCAUUAAGUACUCCGCCUGGGGAGUACGCUCGCAAGAGUGAAACUCAAAGGAAUUGACGG
rnacentral:rRNA from 1 species